AAAGAAGCCCACAUGCAAACUCAAGGCAAGAGAGGGAGAAAACACAUGCAAAGAAGCCCACAUGCAAAGUGAAAGGGACAUACACGGCAAAGGGGAAGGAAAUGGUGUGUUUUGUGGUUGAAAUGAUGAAGCAAGUGUGUGCAAAUGCAAAGGGGAUCUAAACAUGGACAGCACAUGUCAUGUGCAAAGGAAGAAAACCAAAGAGAACACAAUCCACCCAUCCACCCUUCACCAUAACCCACCUAUAUCCAUCCACCAC
rnacentral:lncRNA from 1 species